AUUGAACGCUGGCGGCAGGCCUAACACAUGCAAGUCGAGCGAGUGGCGGACGGGAGAGUAAUGUCUGGGAAACUGCCUGAUGGAGGGGGAUAACUACUGGAAACGGUAGCUAAUACCGCAUACCAUCAGAUGUGCCCAGAUGGGAUUAGCUCGUAGGUGGGGUAAUGGCGCACCUAGGCGACGAUCCCUAGCGGGUCUGAGAGGAUGACCUGCCACACUGGAGCUGAGACACGGUCCAGACGCCUACGUGAGGCAGCAGUGGGGAAUAUUGCACAAUGGGCGCAAGCCUGAGGCAGCCAUGCCGCGUGUGUGAAGAGGGCCGUCGGGUUGUAAAGUACUUUCAGCGAGGAGGCGUUACUCGCAGAAGAAGCACCGGCUAACUCCGUGCCAGCAGCCGCGGUAAUAC
rnacentral:rRNA from 1 species